UUUGUUUGCAGAAUCAAUGUCUGACAUGUACUUCAUCCAUGAACUCAAACUUCAGUCCUACUAAUGAGGGAAAAUAACAACUGAAGACAGAAAGGAAUAAAGAAAGAAAGAAAGAAAGAAUGAAGAAGGAAGUAAGGAUGAAAUAAGAAACAAUGACAAUCAAGUUGCAAACUGUAGAGUCUGCAUAUACUUCAUGACCUGCAUAAUAGCAUGGGCUUUACAUGCAUGCAGAGUCAGGGAAUCUGACCCACCUGCAUUUCUUGCCAAUUUCCAGGUCCACAUAUCCUGCUGAUGAUGUGUGGCUAUGUGUCCUUCUGAAAGAAGUUUUGGAUAAUGAGUAACUGAAGCUGGACAAAAUCUUCACUUUUGAGACAUCAGAUGAAACAGAAGAGGAGGCAACAGAGGCUCUCAGCUCUCUGAGACCCUUAAAUGACUUAAGCCAGGAAGAAGACAGUGCAGAGGAAGGAACACUGGCAUACAUGGUGUGUUGUUCCAGCAACUCUAAAUUAUCCAUUUAUUUGCUGUUGACAGCAUGUUAUCUGUCUGUUAUUAGUGCUUUGACAGACAGAACACUGGUUUUCCAAGCUUAAAUUUCUCAGGAAUUAUUGAAUGUCAACAGAUUUUAAUUAUUGUUGCUAUAAUUAACAAGUUUUGAGCCUAGAAAUAGAAUAUUUUUCAUGUGGGUCUUGGAUUUAUUCAUAGUGGAUUCAUACACACAAUAUGUUUAAUAAACACAAGCCUGAAAAAGAAAGAGAAUGUAUGGAGCUGGGGAGAAAAACAAAAACAUUUUAUUUAGAAACUUUGAGACCAUAGACUUUGAUUACAUU